rnacentral:rRNA from 1 species
GGUGAGUAACACGUAAGAACCUACCCUUCGGACUGGGAUAACAUCCUGAAAGGGAUGCUAAUACCGGAUAUUAUCUAUGGAUGAAAGAGGGCUUCGGCUUUCACCGAGGGAUGGGCUUGCGGCCCAUUAGCUUGUUGGUAAGGUAAUGGCUUACCAAGGCGACGAUGGGUAGCCGGCCUGAGAGGGUGUACGGCCACACUGGAACUGAGACACGGUCCAGACUCCUACGGGAGGCAGCAGUGGGGAAUAUUGGUCAAUGGGCGAAAGCCUGAACCAGCAAUGCCGUGUGGGCGAUGAAGCUUUUAGGAGUGUAAAGCCCUUUUCUAGGGGAAGAACCGCUUUGGGACGAAUAAUCCCAUAGCCUGACGGUACCUUAGGAAUAAGCCCCGGCUAACUCCGUGCCAGCAGCCGCGGUAAUACGGAGGGGGCGAGCGUUGUUCGGAAUCACUGGGCGUAAAGGGCGCGUAGGCGGCCUUGCAGGUCAGAUGUGAAAGCCCCGGGCUUAACCCGGGAAUUGCGUUUGAAACCUCAGGGCUUGAGGCCGGGAGAGGGAAGUGGAAUUCCUGGUGUAGCGGUGAAAUGCGUAGAUAUCAGGAGGAACACCGGUGGCGAAGGCGGCUUCCUGGACCGGUACUGACGCUGAGUCGCGAAAGCGUGGGGAGCGAACGGGAUUAGAUACCCCGGUAGUCCACGCUGUAAACGUUGAGCACUAGAUGUAGCGGGUAUCGACCCCUGCUGUGUCGCAGCUAACGCAUUAAGUGCUCCGCCUGGGGACUACGGUCGCAAGACUGAAACUCAAAGGAAUUGACGGGGGCCCGCACAAGCGGUGGAGUAUGUGGUUUAAUUCGAUGCAACGCGAAGAACCUUACCAGGGCUUGACAUACUGGUGGUACUGAUCUGAAAGGUGAAGGACCUCUUCGGAGGAGCCAGUACAGGUGCUGCAUGGCUGUCGUCAGCUCGUGUCGUGAGAUGUUGGGUUAA